UACGAAGGGGGCUAGCGUUGCUCGGAAUCACUGGGCGUAAAGGGUGCGUCGGCGGGUUAUUAAGUCAGCGGUGAAAUCCUGGAGCUCAACUCCAGAACUGCCUUUGAUACUGAUAGUCUUGAGUAUGGGAGAGGUGAGUGGAACUGCGAGUGUAGAGGUGAAAUUCGUAGAUAUUCGCAAGAACACCAGUGGCGAAGGCGGCUCACUGGCCCAUUACUGACGCUGAGGCACGAAAGCGUGGGGAGCAAACAGG
rnacentral:rRNA from 1 species